rnacentral:rRNA from 1 species
CAGUCGCCGCGGUAAAACGUAGGGUGCAAGCGUUAAUCGGAAUUACUGGGCGUAAAGCGCGCGUAGGUGGUUUGUUAAGUUGGAUGUGAAAUCCCCGGGCUCAACCUGGGAACUGCAUCCAAAACUGGCAAGCUAGAGUAUGGUAGAGGGUGGUGGAAUUUCCUGUGUAGCGGUGAAAUGCGUAGAUAUAGGAAGGAACACCAGUGGCGAAGGCGACCACCUGGACUGAUACUGACACUGAGGUGCGAAAGCGUGGGGAGCAAACAGGAUUAGAUACCCCAGUAGUCCCUGUCUCUUAUAC